GGAGUCAGCAGCCCUAGGUGCUCGAAAUGAGCCCGCAGUUUGCGUGGAGGUCCAUGGCGAAAACGAUACGAACAUAUAAAGCGCUGCCGGAAACGCAUACGAUUCACUGCAAACUGGGUGGCAAAGCACUGAAUGAGAAACUGCGGAGCAAAGCGGCUGGAGGCAUUCAGACUCCAGCUACAUAUUGGCUUUCUCCGUCCUCACUCCGCAGGCUUGAAGGACACCCUCUGCCCUCCUGGUUCCCAGGCAUUGGAACGAAGGCUAGAGCUUUGCUACCAGUUCUGCAGGUGUCGAGGACAGCUGCCGAUCUUCUUGGCAUUCCCGUCCGUCUCCACAAUUAUGGACCUGGGUGCAAAUCCUGGACAGAGGUGCAUUUAGAUACAGCACAGGCACCGAGAGUGCGUCCUCCCUUCCUUCUGCUCUCCCCAGCCAGUCCUCCUGAGUGUCCACCCUGAGCUCACUGUCCUGUCCCCGGGG
rnacentral:lncRNA from 1 species